rnacentral:hammerhead_ribozyme from 1 species
AGUGGUUGACGAGUCCCUAAUAGGACGAAAUGCGCAUCCUGGAU